AUUGAACGCUGGCGGAAUGCUUUACACAUGCAAGUCGAGCGGCAGCACGGGGGCAACCCUGGUGGCGAGCGGCGCACGGGUGAGUAAUACAUCGGAACAUGCUCAGUCGUGGGGGAUAACACUUCGAAAGAAGUGCUAAUACCGCAUACGUCCUGAGGGGGAAAGCGGGGGAUCGCAAGACCUCGCGCGAUUGGAGUGGCCGAUGUCCGAUUAGCUAGUUGGUGGGGUAAAGGCCUACCAAGGCAACGAUCUGUAGCUGGUCUGAGAGGAUGAUCAGCCACACAGGGACUGAGACACGGCCCAGACUCCGACGGGAGGCAGCAGUGGGGAAUUUUGGAAAAUGGGGGGAACCCUGAACCAGCCAUGCCGGGUGGGUGAAGAAGGCCUGCGGGUUGUAAAGCUCUUUCGGCAGGAACGAAACGGUGAGCUCUAACAUAGCUUGCUAAUGACGGAACUGAAGAAGAAGCACCGGCUAACUACGUG
rnacentral:rRNA from 1 species